GUUCGGACUGUAGGCUGCAACUCGCCUACACGAAGCUGGAAUCGCUAGUAAUCGCGGAUCAGCACGCCGCGGUGAAUACGUUCCCGGGCCUUGUACACACCGCCCGUCACACCAUGAGAGUCUGUAACACCCAAAGCCGGUGGGAUAACCUUUAUAGGAGUCAGCCGUCUAAGGUAGGACAGAUGAUUAGGGUGAAGUCGUAACAAGGUAUC
rnacentral:rRNA from 1 species